rnacentral:rRNA from 1 species
CAAGGGUGCGUAACGCGUGAGCAACAUGCCCGUAUCAGGGGGAUAAUCCAUGGAAACGUGGUCUAAUACCCCAUAGUAAUUAUGUAAGGCAUCUUAUAUAAUUUAAAGCUUUGGUGGAUACGGAUUGGCUCGCGUGACAUUAGCUAGAUGGUAAGGUAACGGCUUACCAUGGGCUACGAUGUCUAGGGGUUCUGAGAGGAAGGUCCCCCACACUGGAACUGAGACACGGUCCAGACUCCUACGGGAGGCAGCAGUGAGGAAUAUUGGACAAUGGAUGGAAAUCUGAUCCAGCCAUGCCGCGUGCAGGAAGAACCGGCCCUAUGGGUUGUAAACUGCUUUUGUAUGGGAGCAAUAAGGGCUACGCGUAGUCCGAUGAGAGUACCAUACGAAUAAGCACCGGCUAACUCCGUGCCAGCAGCUGC